GUGAUUCAGUGUUUACAUCUGAAGAGGGGUUCAGAAAUUGGAUAAAAGCAACUUACAAAGAUGGGGGAUUUGUAGGUCAUGCCAAAUCAGAUUCACAUACUAAUGCUAUGUUAGCAUGGGCAGAAUAUGAAAAGUUGACUGCAGGCAAAUGCUCUCUCUCAGCCUCCUUAAGUUCCUCACAGCUAUGCAAAACAUUGCACAGAAAGCACAAAGAAACAGCACAAACAAACUACCCAGUAAACAUACCACUUUGUGGUUAAAGGAAUUCCUGCCUCAGUCUCCAUUCCUCUCACUCACCUGACCCGUGACCACCUGUUCACCUUCACUAUUGUCAGUCAUCCUACCUGUCUAGCUAUCCACACAGAUUCCAAAAAUCUUUCAAUGGUCUUUCAAGUCGGAUGAUGACUGAACCAAAGACAGGUGAAAAGGAAAAGGAGGAGAAGGAAGAAUUGUCUCCACCGGAAGGAAGGAGAGAAGAAGAAGUAGCAGCUGAGGCUAAAGAUGAGGGAAAAGUCCUGGAACCAAUAAAAGAUCCAGGAGCUAAGCCUAAAGCACUGAAGAAGACAUCAUCCUCAAGCACCAGGAGAACUAGGCAACAAACGAGCAGACAACCACCUGGUUAUCUUAAG
rnacentral:lncRNA from 1 species